rnacentral:rRNA from 1 species
GACGAACGCUGGCGGCGUGCCUAAUACAUGCAAGUAGAACGCACAGUUUAUACCGUAGCUUGCUACACCAUAAACUGUGAGUUGCGAACGGGUGAGUAACGCGUAGGUAACCUGCCUGGUAGCGGGGGAUAACUAUUGGAAACGAUAGCUAAUACCGCAUAAUAUUGAUUAUUGCAUGAUAAUUGAUUGAAAGAUGCUAUUGCAUCACUACCAGAUGGACCUGCGUUGUAUUAGCUAGUAGGUGAGGUAACGGCUCACCUAGGCGACGAUACAUAGCCGACCUGAGAGAGUGAUCGGCCACACUGGGACUGAGACACGGCCCAGACUCCUACGGGAGGCAGCAGUAGGGAAUCUUCGGCAAUGGACGAAAGUCUGACCGAGCAACGCCGCGUGAGUGAAGAAGGUUUUCGGAUCGUAAAGCUCUGUUGUAAGAGAAGAACGGGUGUGAGAGUGGAAAGUUCACACUGUGACGGUAUCUUACCAGAAAGGGACGGCUAACUACGUG